CAGUAGCCGCGGUAAUACGUAGGUCCCGAGCGUUGUCCGGAUUUAUUGGGCGUAAAGCGAGCGCAGGCGGUUAGAUAAGUCUGAAGUUAAAGGCUGUGGCUUAACCAUAGUACGCUUUGGAAACUGUUUAACUUGAGUGCAAGAGGGGAGAGUGGAAUUCCAUGUGUAGCGGUGAAAUGCGUAGAUAUAUGGAGGAACACCGGUGGCGAAAGCGGCUCUCUGGUCUGUAACUGACGCUGAGGCUCGAAAGCGUGGGGAGCAAACAGGAUUAGAUACCCCCGUAGUCCCUGUCUCUUAUACA
rnacentral:rRNA from 1 species